rnacentral:rRNA from 1 species
UAGGGAAUCUUCCGCAAUGGGCGAAAGCUUGACGGAGCAACGCCGCGUGAGUGAUGAAGGUCUUCGGAUCGUAAAACUCUGUUAUUAGGGAAGAACAAAUGUGUAAGUAACUAUGCACGUCUUGACGGUACCUAAUCAGAAAGCCACGGCUAACUACGUGCCAGCAGCCGCGGUAAUACGUAGGUGGCAAGCGUUAUCCGGAAUUAUUGGGCGUAAAGCGCGCGUAUGCGGUUUUUUAAGUCUGAUGUGAAAGCCCACGGCUCAACCGUGGAGGGUCAUUGGAAACUGGAAAACUUGAGUGCAGAAGAGGAAAGUGGAAUUCCAUGUGUAGCGGUGAAAUGCGCAGAGAUAUGGAGGAACACCAGUGGCGAAGGCGACUUUCUGGUCUGUAACUGACGCUGAUGUGCGAAAGCGUGGGGAUCAAACAGG